UGUAAACAUCCCACACUCUCCGCUGUGCAAAGCCAGAAAGCCGAGAGAAGGCUGUUUACUCU
rnacentral:pre_miRNA from 1 species